UAUUUAUUGAGUAGCUGUGGUCAUUAAUAGCAAAUUGAUUAGUAUCACACACAAAAUGGUUGUUGCAGAAAAACAUAUUCUGAGCAGAACUGUGGCAUUUUGUGCAUAUAAGAUGAAGAGACGAGAUGAUGUGAAAUCCCUCCCAUUUAACACAUCCACUUCAGAGGUAGCCAGGUUUUUGUUGCUAUGAGAGAGAGAGGAAGCUGACCUGUUUUGAAUGGUACACAGAGCUUUUUAGUCACACAAGCAAAGGCACAAGAGCUAGGAAAAAAAAAAAAGUCUGAUAAUAACAUAUUAAAGGAGUUAAUUAAAUGGGGAAGUUACAUUAUAAAAUAGCACGGAGUCCUCUUGCUAUCUGCAUGAAUUAUGACCUGAGGCUGGCUGUACAUGUUUUGUUGGAUUAGAAAAUAUUUACAAAGUAAACUAUGCUUCAAGGGACAUGAAAUAUGUGAAUUAGGUAUUAAAAACAUACCUGAAACUUUAUUGUUAUUAUUUACUAAUUAAUAUUUUAGUGAGAAUGUUGGUCAUAUCUUAUGGAGAAUUAUUUUCCAUAAUCGCAAUUCAGAUGAAUGUUUUUCUUACUUUGACAAAUACUUUGGAGAGAAAAAAAAAAAAAAAGGAGAUUAAUGUGAGGGAAAAAAAAAAAAAAAGGAGAAAAUCCAGAUAUUGGAUAGAACAAAUGAUUUUAUGUUAAGUGCAUUUGCACUACUUAUUAUACAUUGAUAUGGAGCAUUUGAAUCAACAAUGUCCCUCCCUGUUUGCAUUUUGCAGGUUAUGCAACUCUGGGGCCCUGGAUACAAAGGUGGUGUUGCUCAGCUUCUGUGCUGGAAAUACUGUGGAAACCCCAGAGGGAGCUCAGGGGUCUUGGUGGAAACAGCACUAAAGACAAAGCAGAAGGAGGAUGAAGCAAAUUAAAAGCAGGAACAUUUCUCUCCUGAAUUCAGAUGUACCAAAGAAGGAGGAAAGUCUCACUGCAGAGCUCUACAGGAGUCUUCUACUCUGGACAACUCCAAGAGCUCUGGAAGGCUGGUUCUUGGUCAGAGAACCACAACAGUAAAUUGUGAAUGGGUUAGAGCCAGAAAUCUUGUGACAAUUUCCUUGCAGAAGAUGUUUUUCUUGACCUUGAGACUCACCAAAUCCUGUAAUCUUGUAGUCUUUUUGUGUGCAUGGGUGUCUAUUGCCAGGUUUUCCACUCCCCAGUGUGGAAAUCUUAUGCUAAGUUCUCUCCUUCAGCCAUGUACAGCCAACAGAAAUGAUGGGAAACUUCAUAUCACUUGUUGAACUGGAGGGGAAGGAGAGGAAUAACAUCUCUGUCCCGUAGCUAAUGUAUCCCAGCAUAAAUCCUGAUGGUCAGGACUAAGUUGCCUGUCUGGAGAAGUUGUUUUGGGGUCAAGACGAAGAAAACUGGAGGAUGAGAAGCAAGAACAAUGUAUGACUGUUCUGGUUCCUUCAUUUAAGAAGGAAUUCCUGCAGUUCCCUUUCUUUGCUGAUCCUAGUCCUCUGGCUGCACAGGUUGUGAGGAUUGGGCCAAACCAUGGCUUCAAGGCUUUGAAAAUCUGUGUUAAGAUAUGCUGGCUUUAAUUCCAGCAAUAAAUUGCAACUAUUUAAUACUUACUAUAUAUUU
rnacentral:lncRNA from 1 species